rfam:Glycine max cultivar Williams 82 chromosome 13, whole genome shotgun sequence.
ACAUCGGUUUUUUUAAAAACCAAUGUUAACAAGAACAUGUUA